GACGAACGCUGGCGGCGUGCUUAACACAUGCAAGUCGAACGGAAAGGCCCUGCUUUUGUGGGGUGCUCGUGUGGCGAACGGGUGAGUAACACGUGAGUAACCUGCCCUUGACUUUGGGAUAACUUCAGGAAACUGGGGCUAAUACCGGAUAGGAGCUCCUGCUGCAUGGUGUGGGUUGGAAAGUUUCGGCGGUUGGGGAUGGACUCGCGGCUUAUCAGCUUGUUGGUGGGGUAGUGGCUUACCAAGGCUUGACGGGUAGCCGACCUGAGAGGGUGAACGGCAACAUGGGGACUGAGAUACGGCCCAGACUCCUACGGGAGGCAGCAGUGGGGAAUAUUGCACAAUGGGCGGAAGCCUGAUGCAGCAACGCCGCGUGCGGGAUGACGGCCUUCGGGUUGUAAACCGCUUUCGCCUGUGACGAAGCGUGAGUGACGGUAAUGGGUAAAGAAGCACCGGCUAACUACGUG
rnacentral:rRNA from 1 species